UACGUAGGAUGCAAGCGUUGUCCGGAUUUACUGGGCGUAAAGCGCGCGCAGGCGGCACUCUAAGUACGUCGUGAAAUAUCCCGGCUCAACCGGGAGGGUGCGAUGUAGACUAGGGAGCUAGAGGUCGGUAGAGGGGGGUGGAAUUGCUGGUGUAGCGGUGAAAUGCGUAGAUAUCUGGAGGAACACCGGUGGCGAAGGCGGCAUCCUGGACCGGUAUUGACGCUGAGGCGCGAAAGCUAGGGGAGCAAACGGG
rnacentral:rRNA from 1 species